rnacentral:other from 1 species
GCGGGGCUGCGGGGUUCGUCAGGAGCACAUAUUUCCGGGGCCUUAUCGAUCUCAAAGGGAACUGUCCCUGACCAAGCUCCUGGGCUUGGACACACGGUGCCCACCUACGUUGUAGGUUCCCGGGAUCGAGCCUCCAACGGCCAUCGCGGCUCCGCA